AUUGAACGCUGGCGGCAUGCUUUACACAUGCAAGUCGAACGGCAGCACAGAGAAGCUUGCUUCUUGGGUGGCGAGUGGCGAACGGGUGAGUAAUAUAUCGGAACGUACCGAGUAAUGGGGGAUAACUAAUCGAAAGAUUAGCUAAUACCGCAUAUUCUCUGAGGAGGAAAGCAGGGGACCUUCGGGCCUUGCGUUAUUCGAGCGGCCGAUAUCUGAUUAGCUAGUUGGUGGGGUAAAGGCCUACCAAGACGACGAUCAGUAGCGGGUCUGAGAGGAUGAUCCGCCACACUGGGACUGAGACACGGCCCAGACUCCUACGGGAGGCAGCAGUGGGGAAUUUUGGACAAUGGGCGCAAGCCUGAUCCAGCCAUGCCGCGUGUCUGAAGAAGGCCUUCGGGUUGUAAAGGACUUUUGUCAGGGAAGAAAAGGCUGUUGCUAAUAUCAAUAGCUGAUGACGGUACCUGAAGAAUAAGCACCGGCUAACUACGUG
rnacentral:rRNA from 1 species